UGGUUGUCGUCAGCUCGUGUCGUGAGAUGUUGGGUUAAGUCCCGCAACGAGCGCAACCCUUAUUGUUAGUUGCCAUCAUUCAGUUGGGCACUCUAGCAAGACUGCCGGUGACAAACCGGAGGAAGGUGGGGAUGACGUCAAAUCAUCAUGCCCCUUAUGACCUGGGCUACACACGUGCUACAAUGGGAAGUACAACGAGUUGCGAAGUCGCGAGGCUAAGCUAAUCUCUUAAAGCUUCUCUCAGUUCGGAUUGCAGGCUGCAACUCGCCUGCAUGAAGCCGGAAUCGCUAGUAAUCGCGGAUCAGCACGCCGCGGUGAAUACGUUCCCGGGCCUUGUACACACCGCCCGUCACACCACGAGAGUUUGUAACACCCGAAGUCGGUGAGGUAACCUUUGGAGCCAGCCGCCUAAGGUGGGAUAGAUG
rnacentral:rRNA from 1 species